GGCAGCAGUAGGGAAUGUUCGGCAAUGGGCGAAAGCCUGACCGAGCAACGCCGCGUGAAUGAUGAGGGCCUUCGGGUUGUAAAAUUCUGUUAUAAGGGAAGAACGACUUUAGUAGGAAAUGGCUAGAGCGUGACGGUACCUUAUGAGAAAGCCACGGCUAACUACGUGCCAGCAGCCGCGGUAAUACGUAGAUGGCGAGCGUUAUCCGGAAUUAUUGGGCGUAAAGAGCGCGCAGGUGGUUGAUUAAGUCUGAUGUGAAAGCCCACGGCUUAACCGUGGAGGGUCAUUGGAAACUGGUCGACUUGAGUGCAGAAGAGGGAAGUGGAAUUCCAUGUGUAGCGGUGAAAUGCGUAGAGAUAUGGAGGAACACCAGUGGCGAAGGCGGCUUCCUGGUCUGUAACUGACACUGAGGCGCGAAAGCGUGGGGAGCAAAUAGGAUUAGAUACCCUAGUAGUCCACGCCGUAAACGAUGAGUACUAAGUGU
rnacentral:rRNA from 1 species